AUGAGGUGUAAGUCGAAAUAGAGGGAGGGUCUACUCGGAUAAGGAGGGAGUACGGUCCAGAAAACCUCAAUUGGGCCUUAGGACCAAUGUCCAAUACAUAUGAAAGAAACGGAGGCUCGUUCACUCUCCAUCUACCUCAUGCAACUCACCAGCCAGAAGAGGAAAAACUAGGUUCCGACGGCGAACCUAGCCGCGCCGGCCUAAGCCACCGACAUUGGCGCUUCCACACGGCGAAGCAUUCACGCCGUCCUCCACUUCCUAACCUAACCGAAACGAGAAGACAAAUUCCACCUAACGAAUCAAAGUGCUCAUUGAUUCGGUUCUUCGACGGAACGAACCGAAUGUCGAAUAAAAAAAAGGAAUGAGUUCCGACUAUGACUUGUAUUACAACACAUGAGUUGACAACGCGAAAAUAAGGGAGAGCCUACCGGCGAUGGAUCGGCGACGUCGAAUUCGGAACUCAGGAUUCAUAUGGUGAGGUAUUCUGUGAGUUUGAUUUGAAGAAUUUGAAACAGCAAGGUGGCAAAGAUGAACGCCUAAGAACUCUUAUGCAGGUGGUGGUGGUGGCCGUGAUUCUGGAAAAAUUGGAGAAGAGGAGGUUCCACUGUUUGUUCUUGUAUUUAUAUAGAAUUCUGAAUAUUGAAUUUGAACUUUGAUUUGCAAGUUGCGUUCCGCUUUGUUCAUUCUGCGUUUUGAUGCCUUGCGUUUGGAUUUGUGUUGGGCUGCGUUUUGCUGUAGUUUCGAGUUCUGUUGUAUUGCGUUUCAAUUUGUUCGCGUUUCGUCGUUUCCGUCAUUUGCUGUGUGAAUGCGUUUUGUCGUUUCUGCCAUUUCGUAUGCAUACCUUCAUUGCGUUUUGUCUUA